UACGUAGGGGGCAAGCGUUGUCCGGAAUCAUUGGGCGUAAAGAGCGUGUAGGCGGCUCGAUAAGUCCGCUGUAAAAGUCCAGGGCUCAACCCUGGAAAGCCGGUGGAUACUGUCGGGCUAGAGUCCGGAAGAGGCGAGUGGAAUUCCUGGUGUAGCGGUGGAAUGCGCAGAUAUCAGGAGGAACACCGAUGGCGAAGGCAGCUCGCUGGGACGGUACUGACACUGAGACGCGAAAGCGUGGGGAGCGAACAGG
rnacentral:rRNA from 1 species